rnacentral:rRNA from 1 species
ACUCAAAGGAAUUGACGGGGACCCGCACAAGCAGCGGAGCGUGUGGUUUAAUUCGAUGCAACGCGAAGAACCUUACCUGGGCUUGACAUGUAGUCGCAACGCACUGAAAGGUGCGCCUCCGCAAGGACGGCUACACAGAUGUUGCAUGGCUGUCGUCAGCUCGUGUCGUGAGAUGUUGGGUUAAGUCCCGCAACGAGCGCAACCCUUGUCCUUAGUUGCAUAUCUAGGGAGACUGCCGGAAACAAACUGGAGGAAGGUGGGGAUGAUGUCAAGUCAGCAUGACUCUUACGUCCAGGGCUACACACACGCUACAAUGGAUAGUACAAAGAGAAGCCACUGAGCGAUCAGGAGCGGACCUCUAAAAGCUGUCCCCAGUUCAGAUUGCACUCUGCAACCCGAGUGCAUGAAGUCGGAGUUGCUAGUAACCGCGUGUCAGCAUAGCGCGGUGAAUAUGUUCCCGGGUCUUGUACACACCGCCCGU